rnacentral:rRNA from 1 species
AUGGUAGGAUAGAGGCCUACCAUGGUUUUAACGGGUAACGGGGAAUUAGGGUUCGAUUCCGGAGAGGGAGCCUGAGAAACGGCUACCACAUCCAAGGAAGGCAGCAGGCGCGCAAAUUACCCAAUCCCAAUACGGGGAGGUAGUGACAAUAAAUAACAAUAUGGGGCUCUUACGGGUCUCGUAAUUGGAAUGAGUACAAUUUAAAUCUCUUAACGAGGAACAAUUGGAGGGCAAGUCUGGUGCCAGCAGCCGCGGUAAUUCCAGCUCCAAUAGCGUAUAUUAAAGUUGUUGCAGUUAAAAAGCUCGUAGUUGAAUUUCGGAGUUUGUCGGUUGGUCGGGCUUCAUUGUCCGCACUGACCUGAUGGAUUCCUACCUUCUGAAUAACCAGCAUGCUAUUAAGUUAGUGCGUUGGGAAGCAGAGCUAUUACCUUGAAAAAAUUAGAGUGCUUAAAGCAGGCUUAUGCUUGAAUAGAUUAGCAUGGAAUAAUAAAAUAGGACGGCAUGGUUCUAUUUUGUUGGUUUCUAGGAUCACCGUAAUGAUUAAUAGGGAUAGUUGGGGGCAUUAGUAUUCAAUUGUCAGAGGUGAAAUUCUUGGAUUUAUUGAAGACUAACUUCUGCGAAAGCAUUUGCCAAGGAUGUUUUCAUUAAUCAAGAACGAAAGUUAGGGGAUCGAAGACGAUCAGAUACCGUCGUAGUCUUAACCAUAAACUAUGCCGACUAGGGAUCGGACGAUGUUAAUUUUUUAAUGACUCGUUCGGCGCCUUACGGGAAACCAAAG